UACCUGGUUGAUCCUGCCAGUAGUCAUAUGCUUGUCUCAAAGACUAAGCCAUGCAUGUCUAAGUAUAAGUAUUAUACAGCGAAACUGCGAAUGGCUCAUUAAAACAGUUAUAGUUUAUUUGAUAAUCGAAUUUACAUGGAUAACCGUGGUAAUUCUAGAGCUAAUACAUGCUGGUGUGCCCGACUUUUGUGGAAGGGCGGUAUUUAUUAGAUAACAAGCCAAUAUUCCUCUGGUCUAUUGUGGUGACUCAUAAUAACUGAUCGAAUCGCAAGGCCUAUGGCCGCGGUAAGUCAUUCAAGUUUCUGCCCCAUCAGCUUUCGAUGGUAGUGUAUUGGACUACCAUGGCGUUUACGGGUAACGGAGGAUUAGGGUUCGAUUCCGGAGAGGGAGCCUGAGAAACGGCUACCACAUCUAAGGAAGGCAGCAGGCGCGUAAAUUACCCAAUCCUGACUCAGGGAGGUAGUGACAAGAAAUAACGGACCGGGGCCUUACGGCUUCGGGAUUGCAAUGAGCCGAAUUUACACCCCUUAGCGAAGAUCGAUUGGAGGGCAAGUCUGGUGCCAGCAGCCGCGGUAAUUCCAGCUCCAAUAGC
rnacentral:rRNA from 1 species